ensembl:misc_RNA Metazoa_SRP Metazoan signal recognition particle RNA
GCCAGGUGUGGUGGUGCACAGCUGUAGUCCCACCUGCUCAGGAGGCUGAGGCAGGAGAAUUGCUUGAGUCCAGGAGGUCAGGGCUGGAGUGAGUCAUGAUUGAGCCACUGCACUCCAGCCUGGGCAACAGAGUGAGACUCUGUCUCAA